AGAGUUUGAUCCUGCCUUUAGAUGAACGCUGGCGGCGUGCUUAACACAUGCAAGUCGAGCGAUGAAGUUUCCUUCGGGAAACGGAUUAGCGGCGGACGGGUGAGUAACACGUGGGUAACCUGCCUCAUAGAGUGGAAUAGCCUUUCGAAAGGAAGAUUAAUACCGCAUAAUGUUGAAAGAUGGCAUCAUCAUUCAACCAAAGGAGCAAUCCGCUAUGAGAUGGACCCGCGGCGCAUUAGCUAGUUGGUGGGGUAACGGCCUACCAAGGCGACGAUGCGUAGCCGACCUGAGAGGGUGAUCGGCCACAUUGGGACUGAGACACGGCCCAGACUCCUACGGGAGGCAGCAGUGGGGAAUAUUGCACAAUGGGGGAAACCCUGAUGCAGCAACGCCGCGUGAGUGAUGAAGGUUUUCGGAUCGUAAAGCUCUGUCUUUGGGGAAGAUAAUGACGGUACCCAAGGAGGAAGCCACGGCUAACUACGUGCCAGCAGCCGCGGUAAUACGUAGGUGGCGAGCGUUAUCCGGAUUUACUGGGCGUAAAGGGAGCGUAGGCGGAUGAUUAAGUGGGAUGUGAAAUACCCGGGCUCAACUUGGGUGCUGCAUUCCAAACUAGUUAUCUAGAGUGCAGGAGAGGAGAGUGGAAUUCCUAGUGUAGCGGUGAAAUGCGUAGAGAUUAGGAAGAACACCAGUGGCGAAGGCGACUCUCUGGACUGUAACUGACGCUGAGGCUCGAAAGCGUGGGGAGCAAACAGGAUUAGAUACCCUGUAGUCCACGCCGUAAACGAUGAAUACUAGGUGUGGGGGUUUCAACACCUCCGUGCCGCCGCUAACGCAUUAAGUAUUCCGCCUGGGGAGUACGGUCGCAAGAUUAAAACUCAAAGGAAUUGACGGGGACCCGCACAAGUAGCGGAGCAUGUGGUUUAAUUCGAAGCAACGCGAAGAACCUUACCUACACUUGACAUCCCUUGCAUUACUCUUAAUCGAGGAAAUCCCUUCGGGGACAAGGUGACAGGUGGUGCAUGGUUGUCGUCAGCUCGUGUCGUGAGAUGUUGGGUUAAGUCCCGCAACGAGCGCAACCCUUGUCGUUAGUUACUACCAUUAAGUUGAGGACUCUAGCGAGACUGCCUGGGUUAACCAGGAGGAAGGUGGGGAUGACGUCAAAUCAUCAUGCCCCUUAUGUGUAGGGCUACACACGUGCUACAAUGGCUGGUACAGAGAGAUGCAAUACCGCGAGGUGGAGCCAAACUUUAAAACCAGUCUCAGUUCGGAUUGUAGGCUGAAACUCGCCUACAUGAAGCUGGAGUUACUAGUAAUCGCGAAUCAGAAUGUCGCGGUGAAUACGUUCCCGGGUCUUGUACA
rnacentral:rRNA from 1 species